rnacentral:lncRNA from 1 species
AAUAACUAAUUAUCGUCUCAAGUUUUAACCCAAAUAACAACAUAGUAUUAUACUAAAUAAAGAGAAGGAACUAAGCAAUACUAGACUCCUAACGAGCUUGAGUUUUCAUGUAUAUGCAAUCCCCAAGCUCUGGGAUCCUAUUAGAGAUUGACCCGAUAGUUGAAUCAAAAUAAAUUCCAUUGCGAAACUCCAACUACCGAGUUCACAUAUAAAAAUAAAAGGAUAAGAAUUAGUAACUAAUCAGAUAAAGAUGCAUAUGAAAAAUGAAAGGAGAUCAUGCUUUGAAUAAAGGACUUUAUUAAAUAGCACCUCGGGAACCAAAUGCAAGCUCAGCUCAUGAUUUCAUGAGCCAAGCAAAAUUAAAAAACACUUAGAAAGGCGAAACUAGGAUAUUUAACCCCUUUCUGGAUGCGGAAUUAACAAACAAAACACACAACAACCACACCUAAAUUUUGAGCCAGAAACUUACCCAAAAUGCUACAAAAGAUGCUCACAAACCAACCAUAACAUAUGGAAGGACAGAGUGACACAAAUUAACAAAUAUCAUGUGAUUAAAUUGAGAGAAAUAUCACGCACUUGUAAAAUAAAUAAUGAACAUAGGCUCCUAUGAUCGCAUUAAAAUUCCUGCAACGGUCCAGACUCCGAAUUCUAAGGGAGACUUUGACCACCAAAACCAAAAUACACAAAUGAUGACCAAGCUUUUCUUUGCAUUCAUUAACCUGGGCUAGACCAACCUACCAAAACUAUAGUCUUUUAAGUCAUAAGUGAGCACACAUAUAUAUAUGGAUUUAUGGGACUGUGCUAAUCAUGAUGAAUACUUGCCAAUCCAUCGCAACCUUUGAUGGUAUUAUACAUGUAUAAUGGCAAAUCAAUUCAAAUAUUUCUCAACUUUCUCACAUAAAAAAUGCAAAAAUGACUGCCUAAAACAUUGUCGUUCAAUAUAUCCAAAGACAAUGUGAACAUAUCUCAGAAUUAACGAGAGACUUUAGAAAAAAACGAUGUUCUAUAACUUAAUUUGCAAAAAAAAAAAAAAAAAACACAGCCAUGUUGAACAAGAUGAGCGAUUAUAUUCAGGAAGCCAGAAUAGGUGAGGGAUAAAUGAGUAAAAAAGAAACAAAGACGAACUUAUGCAAUAGAUUAAGCACAAUUCUACCUUCUCUAUUUAAGUUUGAAACCUUUCGAGAUAUGUCCAUAACUCCCCAAACUAUAUGUUUUUUUUUACAUAAUAAAACAUAGCAGCCCCCUAAAAUCUUUAACUUGAAGCGAAAUAAAUCUCAUUCACUUAUCCUUAUUGCACCUUUGAGCGGGGAAAGACAAAAUAGAAAAGAAAAUUUUCAAAUCGUGACAUGUUUGGAUGCAAAACAAGCACAUGACGAGAUUAAAUGAAAUGAUGCUUUAACCUUCUUUAAAGUAAAAGAAACAAAGACUGAAUUCCCGUUAUGGAUACACAAGUAGUAAUAAAACAAGAGCAUGAUCAAAUCAUUCCAUAAUAACUUUGAAUAUAAAAAACAUGAGAGUAUAAUCUAUGGCUAAACUCGUCACUGUCAAAAUUUCUAGGCGAAUUCAAAAAUUAGGUGGGAAAGACACUUUAAGACGAGAUUUGCAAAAAUAAAAUGACUAGUAAUGCUAAAGAGGAGAUGCGUCACACAUUUCAAACGCUUAGAUACAAAAUGACACUGAAUGAAGAAAAAUCAUCCUCCGACUUGAUUUCACUGAAAAAACAACAAUACCAACACGGACUCAAAGCCCGGACAAACUUUUUUUCAACAACAACCAUAUCAAUUUGAUCGGAAUACAUACAACCGACCCAGGCUCGCAAGCGAAUCCGCUUAUGCAAGAAUGGCAGCAACGACAUGAAUUUGACCAAACUAAACGAUACACAUGAAAUUUGCAAACUAGUUGAUUUACGUCCUUAAUUUUCGAAGGAGAACAUAGCAACCGCACCUUCCUUCGCCAUAACAAAUUAAUACGUAACAAAACAGCCACGAAACCAUCACAUUAACACAACAUCGGAACCACUUAGCCUCCAAUUCCAAUUUCCAGAAAACAAAUUUCCCAACUAAGUUUUCCCACUUUCCUUUAUUAUUUGUUUUUCUUAAGAAAAAACUGUUCUGCCUACAUGAAUACACCACAGAGUAAACUUCUACAUACUUACAAGCUUGUGUAUUCAUGUGCGAGACAAUUUUCGAAAUCGAAAAUUAUAUUCAUUCGUGAAUCUAAAAGAAGACAACAUCAACGAUAUGGAUUCCAAAAUAAAACCGCACACCAAUGGGACGAAAAUAGAUGGACUAGUAACUAAAAUUAGACGAGGGAGGGAAGUUCGCACCUUACGUUGUGCAGCAAAUCAUAGCUUUUCGUCAAGUAUUCCGGCCACUCAGACUCGAGUUGCAAAAUCAACAGAAAAAAUCAAUGAUUCUAGUAACUUCGUUGGUGGAUUUCUAGAUUUCAAAAACUAAUUUUUCCUUCUUUUUUUUUCAACUUUUGGACCCGUUUUCACUUUCUUUUUUUAUUUCUCCUCUUUUUCUCUCUUGCUUCUUGCUUUUCUCCCCUUUUCCAAACUUCACUGGUUUUUCCUUACUUUCUCACAAUUUUUUUCUUAAUUCUUUUCUUCUCCUCUGCUUUAUCUUCCUUGUCCUCAAAGGGGUGGAAAUCCGGCUAUUUAUAGCCAAAAUCCGGACUUUAAAGUCCGGAUUUGAGACAACAAAUAAGUAAACCGCGGGAGAAACAGAGAAUUUGAAUUUUUGAAUUCAAAUCUCUAAAGCAAAUCCAUCGAUUUCAACCUUUUCAGGCGACUUGUGGCGGAUUUGACGUUAAUGACGAGUUGUUACAUCAUUUCGGGUCCAAUUUUCCUGAGUUUAGCGGGUUUCGCAGGUCUGGAAUGACAAGAUGGGAUUAGUUCGCGUAGGGUGAAAGCCAUGGCUGCCUAUGGCUGCCAUUUUUGUCGAUGAAGAAGGGAAAAGAGAAGAAAGAAAGUCCAUGGCUGUUUGUAUCGUUGUUUUGAGAAAGAGAAAUGGGUCAACGUAUGGGGGAAUGCGUGUAUUGGGGAGUGUGGAAAAGCCAUAUAAUGGGUUGUUUAUGUUGAUUAUAAUUUG